CCUACGGGUGGCAGCAGUGAGGAAUAUUGGUCAAUGGGCGAGAGCCUGAACCAGCCAAGUCGCGUGAAGGAUGACGGCCCUACGGGUUGUAAACUUCUUUUGUCAGGGAGCAAUUGAGUCCACGUGUGGUCUUAGCGAGAGUACCUGAAGAAAAAGCAUCGGCUAACUCCGUGCCAGCAGCCGCGGUAAUACGGAGGAUGCGAGCGUUAUCCGGAUUUAUUGGGUUUAAAGGGUGCGUAGGCGGAAUACCAAGUCAGCGGGAAAAAUUCGGGGCUCAACCCCGUUGAGCAGUUGAAACGGGUGUUCUGGAGGGGGCGAGAACUAUGCGGAAUGCG
rnacentral:rRNA from 1 species